rnacentral:rRNA from 1 species
AUUGAACGCUGGCGGCAGGCCUAACACAUGCAAGUCGAGCGGAUGACGGGAGCUUGCUCCUUGAUUCAGCGGCGGACGGGUGAGUAAUGCCUAGGAAUCUGCCUGGUAGUGGGGGACAACGUUUCGAAAGGAACGCUAAUACCGCAUACGUCCUACGGGAGAAAGCAGGGGACCUUCGGGCCUUGCGCUAUCAGAUGAGCCUAGGUCGGAUUAGCUAGUUGGUGAGGUAAUGGCUCACCAAGGCGACGAUCCGUAACUGGUCUGAGAGGAUGAUCAGUCACACUGGAACUGAGACACGGUCCAGACUCCUACGGGAGGCAGCAGUGGGGAAUAUCGGACAAUGGGCGAAAGCCUGAUCCGGCCAUGCCGCGUGUGUGAAGAAGGUCUUCGGAUUGUAAAGCACUUUAAGUUGGGAGGAAGGGUAGUAAGUUAAUACCUUGCUGUUUUGACGUUACCGACAGAAUAAGCACCGGCUAACUCUGUGCCAGCAGCCGCAGUAACAC